rnacentral:rRNA from 1 species
AACAGGAUUAGAUACCCUGGUAGUCCACGCCGUAAACGAUGUCUACUUGGAGGCUGUGGUCUUGAACCGUGGCUUCCGGAGCUAACGCGUUAAGUAGACCGCCUGGGGAGUACGGCCGCAAGGUUAAAACUCAAAUGAAUUGACGGGGGCCCGCACAAGCGGUGGAGCAUGUGGUUUAAUUCGAUGCAACGCGAAGAACCUUACCUACUCUUGACAUCCAGAGAACUUAGCAGAGAUGCUUUGGUGCCUUCGGGAACUCUGAGACAGGUGCUGCAUGGCUGUCGUCAGCUCGUGUUGUGAAAUGUUGGGUUAAGUCCCGCAACGAGCGCAACCCUUAUCCUUUGUUGCCAGCGAUUCGGUCGGGAACUCAAAGGAGACUGCCAGUGAUAAACUGGAGGAAGGUGGGGAUGACGUCAAGUCGUCAUGGCCCUUACGAGUAGGGCUACACACGUGCUACAAUGGCGCAUACAAAGAGAAGCGACCUCGCGAGAGCAAGCGGACCUCAUAAAGUGCGUCGUAGUCCGGAUUGGAGUCUGCAACUCGACUCCAUGAAGUCGGAAUCGCUAGUAAUCGUGGAUCAGAAUGCCACGGUGAAUACGUUCCCGGGCCUUGUACACACCGCCCGUCACACCAUGGGAGUGGGUUGCAAAAGAAGUAGGUAGCUUAACCUUCGGGAGGGCGCUUACCACUUUGUGAUUCAUGACUGGGGUGAAGUCGUAACAAGGUAACC